GUAUCUGGCUCAGGAUGAACGCUAGCGACAGGCUUAACACAUGCAAGUCGAGGGGCAGCACAGGUAGCAAUACCGGGUGGCGACCGGCGCACGGGUGAGUAACGCGUAUGCAACUUACCUAUCAGAGGGGGAUAACCCGGCGAAAGUCGGACUAAUACCGCAUGAAGCAGGGGUCCCGCAUGGGGAUAUUUGCUAAAGNUUCAUCGCUGAUAGAUAGGCAUGCGUUCCAUUAGG
rnacentral:rRNA from 1 species